UUUCUAGACUCCUACGGGAGGCAGCAGUGGGGAAUAUUGCACAAUGGGGGGAACCCUGAUGCAGCGACGCCGCGUGGGUGAAGGAGUACUUCGGUACGUAAAGCCCUAUCAGCAGGAAAGAAAAUGACGGCACCUGACUAAGAAGCCCCGGCUAACUACGUGCCAGCAGCCGCGGUAAUACGUAGGGGGCAAGCGUUAUCCGGAUUCACUGGGUGUAAGGGGAGCGUAGACGGCGACGCAAGUCUGGAGUGAAAGCCCGGGGCCCAACCCCGGGACUGCUCUGGAAACUGCGUCGCUGGAGUACGGGAGGGGCAGGCGGAAUUCCUGGUGUAGCGGUGAAAUGCGUAGAUAUCAGGAGGAACACCGGCGGCGAAGGCGGCCUGCUGGACCGUGACUGACGUUGAGGCUCGAGAGCGUGGGGAGCAAACAGGAUUAGAUACCCGUGUAAA
rnacentral:rRNA from 1 species